AAAAGUAGAGGUAUAGGACAUAGUACCGUUGUUUUGUGAUCAUCCAGAUUGUAACGAGUACUUGGCCUAUCAAAAUAAUCAGUAGGAAGCCUCGGAUCGACACCUGCUGUUCCUGGACCACCUUUUCCACCAGAUUGUCCAUUUCCAC